AGAAAAGUGUAAACUGUUAAGCUUGAUCCUGACAAAAAAAUACCUUUUGGUGUCCAAUUGUAAAAUGUUAAAAUGAGACAUCUUGUUAAUAUGAGAAAAUCCCAAACUCACUUAUAGUAUGUAUGUGCAUGUUUUCUGUUAUCUCCAAUGGCAUCAUUUUUUAUAACAUGAACACUGUAAACGUGGGAUUUCACAUGAUGAUAUGACAAAAACCAAGUUAUCUGUUAAUGCUGUUAAAACCCAUUGAAGUCAACACUGGAACACAGGUGAACAUCAGAAGAGAAGUUUUUAA